AGGCUUCACCAAGCAGCCCGGAUUCUGCGAGUGCUGCGCUACAACAAGAACUAAGACGUAGCACCACAUGAUUCGGCUUCAUGGUGAAGUACAU
rnacentral:pre_miRNA from 1 species